rnacentral:rRNA from 1 species
CUCUAAGGUGACUGCCGGUGACAAACCGGAGGAAGGUGGGGAUGACGUCAAAUCAUCAUGCCCCUUAUGACCUGGGCUACACACGUGCUACAAUGGGCAGAACAAAGGGCAGCGAAGCCGCGAGGCUAAGCCAAUCCCACAAAUCUGUUCUCAGUUCGGAUCGCAGUCUGCAACUCGACUGCGUGAAGCUGGAAUCGCUAGUAAUCGCGGAUCAGCAUGCCGCGGUGAAUACGUUCCCGGGCCUUGUACACACCGCCCGUCACACCACGAGAGUUUGUAACACCCGAAGUCGGUGAGGUAACCUUUUGGAGCCAGCCGCCGAAGGUGGGACAGAUGAUUGGGGUGAAGUCGUAACAAGGUAGCCGUAUCGGAAGGUGCGGCUGGAUCACCUCCUUUCUA